ensembl:lncRNA
GGUAGGACAUUCAGGAUGGACCAUUCAUACAUUCAGGAAUGACGCGACCAAGGACAAAAGACACACAAGGCAUAAAUACACUGGGAAGGUGCAGGUGAUUGGACAGAGGUGGAAACAAUCAGACACGGCAGACAAUCACAGGACAAGGUAGGAAGUGAAGUUAGCCAGGGACACAAGAGGCAGAAAACUACCGGCCCAAACCGUGCCAGAAAACCCCCCCACAAGGGCCGGGACAAAGGAUGGGACAAAGCGGGGACUGGAGGCGUCGGGGUUGCUGCGGCCCAGCGGGAACGGGAGUACGCUGCGGCCCAGCGGGAACAGGAGUAUGCUGCUUCCUCUUGCCAGAGCUCCUUCUCCUGGGGUUGAGGAGGUCCCGUAGCUCGAGACAAGCUCUUUGAUAGCUCCUGGGACCGAACAAAGUUUUUCUUACGCUGCCAAAAUGGACUCCUCACGUCCAGGUCCGUAUUCUGGCAAUGGGUCUACGGAAUCCUGACGGGGUCGCGUCAUCCUGUCACGAACAGGUAGGUGGAGGCAGGGACUCAAACACAGAGUUGAAAGCAAAAUUCAAAAAAAGGGGUCAAUCAGGAUUCAAAAUUCACAUGAAGGACAAAAGGCAGACACGGCUUAAAUACACUGGGAAGGUGCAGGUGAUUGGACACAGGUGGAAACAAAUCAGACACGACAGACAAUCCCUGGACAACGUAGGAAGUGAAGUUACCCAGGGACACAAGAGGCAGAAAACUUUAAAAUAAAACAGGAAACAAACCCAAACCGUGACACUUUCGUAUGUUUUUACUUUUACUUUGUUUUAAGUAUGUUUUGCUGGUUCUGUGGCACUCUGAGAUCUGGUGUUGAACUAAAUGUUUUAUUAUCAUUAUGAUUAUUAUUAUGUAUUUACCCGUUGUUCCCCUGUUUACCCCGAACUUUCUUAAUGUGUUCUGUUAUUCUCCUGUGAUUCUAGCUUCUAAAAUGGCCACUUGUUUAACAAACCAGUUGCACACAUCAUCUCAUAACUCCCACUCCAGUGUGUGGGAUCUACACCUCUGAACAAAAGAAAAUGCUCCCCCUGCGCCCAAGUCAAAAAGAGUCAACUGGCUCAAGUUUAAAAGUAAGACAGUUAAAGUGAAAAUGCAGUGUUAAUCAUAAAACAUUUUGCGAAAUAGAGAAUUCCCCUGGACCAGUCUGUUAUGACCAGCAAUCAUGGUUCCCAGGAUGCUUCUGCCUGCCUCUUCUUCAGCAGAGUAUAUUCAAAUCUCGCGGGAUGUGUCCUUCAUUUUAGAGCCCUAUGAAAUCCAUCAAGGAAGGUUUAAGAGUACUUUUGUAAGCAUGAAAAUCAUAUUAAGUAACUACAUCUUUAACUUUAAAUGUUAGCGCCAUGUUUAGUUACUACUCAAAAGCACCUACAUCUUUACUGUCAAGAACAGGUUUCCACGGCAACAACGUAACACAAAACAAGAUUUUAAUAACUACAGGGAUUCUGCACAGACCUCUGCUUUCAUCAGGUGUGUAAUUUUCUCUCGAGUGAGGACGUGGACAAAGGUCCAGUCAUGUCAGUCACAGUGGGACAUAUGACCAACAUGAAUCAAAAUUUUUAAUCCUACUUUCCUGACAUGGAAGACAAAUCUGCACAGCUGGAUUGGAUGAGAAACCCAUUUCUCUCCUCCAAAGCAGGAGCUUCUGAGGAAAAACUCUUGGAAGUGCCCUGUGACCGUGGCCUCCAGAGGAAGUUUUCAACAUUUACGCAUACUGUUUUGGUUGGGUUUGAAAAGCUGUGUGAAAGCUAAAAAUUGAAAAUUACGGACUUUCUGUAGAGCAUUGUUCCAAGAUACUUUUUUUAAGUCUCCUUGUU